CACAAUACACAUAGCUCCUCACUCUCACACUGACUAGUGACUACAACAACUAUAUCACUUAUAAAUCCCGUCUCUCUAGCACACAUUUCUCUUCCAUGGCCUUCUUACACCGCCGUCUUAUAUCUUCGGCUGCUCUCCUUUUCCUCAUUUUCGCCUCCUCCGCCGCCGCAACACGGACCCCAACUCACCGUAAACUCGGCGGACAAGAUUCGAGCGGGUCACUCGAGAUUCUGGAACGAGUGAUGAUAACUCGACGGCGACUCAGUGGACUAGGAUCAUGGCCACCUUCUUGUAGAUCCAAAUGCGAAAGCUGCUCGCCAUGUAAUCCGGUCCAUGUACCGGUUCACCCCGGUUUUACUAUCCCAUUAGAGUAUUAUCCCGAAGCUUGGCGUUGCAAGUGUAGAAAUAAAACGUACAAGCCUUAAAUUAAUUUGUAUUUCGAAAUGAAAUUAAUUUAUAUAUAUGUGUAGUUCAGCUAA